AUUCUUCCACUUUUGGAUUUUGUGGCUUCAAAUUUGCAUAUUUGAUUUGUGAGAAAAGAGAUGAAGGCAGAUUUGGUCCCACUGGCAUUUGAACCUGAUUUGGAGCUACCAAGACAGCAAAAGGAACCAUUUCCACUGCCUUUGGGGAGGACUGGGGAGGACAGCAGUAGUUUCCCUUUUAUUCUUGGCUAACAAUAGGGCAAUAAAAAUUAUAAAAAUAAAAAAAGUUUCCCUGUACUUGUUAGCAGUCAUUUCUGUUACUGGUUGUAUUGGAAUUGUUAACACAGAUCUCCAAAAUAAACAACUUAGUUAAAUCA